rnacentral:rRNA from 1 species
UACGGAGGGUGCAAGCGUUAAUCGGAAUUACUGGGCGUAAAGGGCGCGUAGGCGGUUGGUUACGUCUGCCGUGAAAUCCCCGGGCUCAACCUGGGAAUGGCGGUGGAAACGGGCGGACUAGAGUAUGGGAGAGGGUGAUGGAAUUCCAGGUGUAGCGGUGAAAUGCGUAGAGAUCUGGAGGAACAUCAGUGGCGAAGGCGGUCACCUGGCCCAAUACUGACGCUGAGGCGCGAAAGCGUGGGGAGCAAACAGG